rnacentral:rRNA from 1 species
CCCUUAGAUGUCCUGGGCUGCACGCGCGCUACACUGACACGUUCAACGAGUUUUGCCUGCUCCGAUGGGACUGGGUAAUCUUAUGAAAGCGUGUCGGGAUGGGGAUAGAUUAUUGCAAUUAUUAAUCUUCAACGAGGAAUUCCUAGUAAGUACAAGUCAUCAGCUUGUGCUGAUUACGUCCCUGCCCUUUGUACACACCGCCCGUCGCUCCUACCGAUUGGGUGAUCCGGUGAAUAACUCGGACUGCAGCUAUUCGGGAGACCGUUAGCUUGUGGAAAGUUUAGUAAAUCUUAUCACUUAGAGGAAGGAGAAGUCGUAACA